AACAGGGAAAUGGAGUCGGGAGAGUUAUUUUAGUGAGAGAGAAGAAAAAGAGAAGGGGAAUAUUUUUCACAUGGAGAAAAAGACCUCCACCAGGAAACAGGGAGUCCAAUGCAAGUACAGAAGCUUCUAUUCUGGAAUAGAACAGCUAGCAUACUACCAAGACUUUUCAAGGAGCAAGAAUGGAGCUCCCUGGAGAACUGACUGAACAUGGCUUCAGAGGCAGUAUCCAUAGACAUAGAGACAAAAAGUGCCCUCACUUUUACUGUAUUUUGACCUGGACCAGUCUACAUUUAUAUGAAUAGCUACAAAGCAGCUUUCAGCACAAGGCUGUAGGGUAGGUUCAGAUUUGGCCUCUCCAUUAAUUAGUAAGUACCAUUAGCUGGGCAGACAGCUGCCAAAGGGACUUUCUCCACACUCCCAUGAGUUGGUCACAGAGAUGUUACUGUACUUUUUUACUCAUCACCAUGAUUAAUUGCUGCACUUAGUUCAUAAUUUCCCCUGGGAGUUAACCCCUAGCUUGGGAUAAACACUAAGGUUUUGUCAAAUCCUCCCAUUCUAAGAUUGGAAUAUUGUUGCAUCAUCCUGUUGGAUGAUUCAGGAUUUUAAAAGUUCAGAGCACUCUGAUAUUCCGACAAUUAUAUACACAUUGUUUUCAGUCUUCUUCUGCUUUAUGAUCCUUGUUUAUAUUUCUUUGUGUCAUUCUUUUUAGUAAUUAUUUCCAUCGUUUCUUAAGCAUAAACAUGUUCUAACUGGCUGUGCGGUAGUGUUUCAAUAGAGCUCGUCAUUUCUAGGCAAGCUCUUCUAAUAAUAUUUUAUAUUUUUAAUUUAUCUCCUUAUAUUUUGCUGUAAUAUGGGUUUCAUUGAUUUUUAAAAUGAGUUUUGUUUGUUGUAAUAUAAGGUUAAUUCUGUUAUGUGCCAGAAUUAUACAUUUGACAGUUUUCCAUGGAAUUAUUUCAAUUGGCAAAUUAAAUAAACUCAGACUAUAGCCUCAGUAUUAGUAUUCUUAAUGGAUACACUUUUUAAAAGUAAAGACAAAUUCCCUGACCUAAAUAGUUAGGCAGAAAAUGAGACAUGUAAAGUAAAAUCAGUAUUUCGUUUCUUUGAAACUUUAUUGUGACUUGAAACAGUGCAACAAAAUAUCAGUCUAAUGCCAUAUUACUGAUUUUACCAGUGCUGUAAUUUUUAAAUAAUAAAUGUAUACUUUACUGAUUAAUGACUUGAGAGCUGCUUACUCUUCAUCAACGUAAAACUGCUCUUCAAGUUUCCCAUUCCACCUCUGCGGUAUCACUUACUUUCAAUAAGCUCAUCUCUCAUUUAAUUUAAAAUGUAAGGUAGUACAUUCAAUAGCUCUCUACAUCAAUUGUUUUUAACUAGAUUAAUUUAUGCCUAUGUAAGUAUAAAUAAGGCCUUGAAGUUGCUUGCGUGAUAAAUAAUAAAUAAAAUACAAAUUGUUGAACAGAUCAAUGGAAAAGGAAAUAAGAGUGGAUUAAUAAAAUAAAACCAGAAGAUACAAUUAGUUUAAGAAAUGCCUACUGUAAAAUCCCAUUAAAUCACUAGAAGUAGAAUGUAGAUUUGGCUCUGAGCUUCCCAGUAGCCAAAGCAAAAAGAACUGCAUUAUUUGCAAGGUUGACUGUUUUUGUAAUAUGUUUUAAGGUUUUGUUUCACAAAAAACCAUCUUUUCCUGAUAUGAGCAUGAAGAGAUAUUUCUCUUGAGAGUCCUGAUGAACAGCUUGUUACAGGAUAUGAAACACAUUGUCCUCAACGUCACUCUGACAGUAAUUUCGAAGGGAAGUUUCUGUAUUUUUGUUUCUCAAAAACGUGAAUUGUAGCAGUAAUGCCAAAGCAAUAUUCAGUAACACCAGUUUUACAUGUAACCAAAACAAUGGAAUACAAGUUUG
rnacentral:lncRNA from 10 species